UACAUAGAUCUAAGACGAGCUAGAGUG
rnacentral:piRNA from 1 species